GCGGGAGUAGCUCAGUUGGUAGAGCGAUAGCCUUCCAAGCUAUAGGCCGCGAGUUCGACCCUCGUCUCCCGCUCAA
rnacentral:tRNA from 2 species